UACGGAGGGUGCGAGCGUUGUCCGGAAUCACUGGGCGUAAAGGGCGCGUAGGCGGCGCGGAAAGUCGUCGGUGAAAGCUCGGGGCUCAACCCUGAGUCUGCCGGUGAUACUCCCGCGCUCGAGCUCACUAGAGGCAGAUGGAAUUCCGGGUGUAGCGGUGGAAUGCGCAGAGAUCCGGAAGAACACCGGUGGCGAAGGCGGUCUGCUGGGGUGAGGCUGACGCUGAUGCGCGACAGCGUGGGGAGCAAACAGG
rnacentral:rRNA from 1 species